GCCUCCCUUUGUGCCCUGGUAUGGAGGCAGAUCAGAUGCAUGGCUCCCCGAAGCAGGGUAGAGCUAAAGGCCAACCCUGAGGCUCAGACUGACGCCAACACGAGGCCGGCCUGAUUCAGAAAUAGUGACAGCUGCAGAUUGCUGUAACACAGUAAAGAGAUGCGGAGCAGUCCUGUAAUGCUGAGGUGCUGACUGGACCAGCAAUCAAUGAGGAAAAGGCAGAGCACAACGCCAACUCGAAAAGGAGGAAGACGGAGCCUCCCCCAUCACACGUCCUCAUCCUCCUCUGAACCCCCCUCCCACUCUCAACAACCCACCCCCCAUCAAUCACCAUCUUCCUCUUCCUCCCCCUCUCAAACCCCCUCCCCCCUAUCAACCCACCCCCAUCAAUCUUCUUCCACUUCCUCCUCCCCCUCUGAACCCCCCCCCCCCCCCACAACAUCCCGAACCGCAACAAGCUCCAACCUUCUCUUGCUCCUCCUCCCCCUCUCAAGCCCCCUCCCCAUCUCUAUCUUACCUCCCUUCUCAACCCCCUCACCUUCUCAAUCCGACCACCCCUCUCAAACACCCUCACCCAUCCAUCCUCCAUCCCCCUUUCAAACCCCUUCCACCAUUUAACCUCCUUCCCCCUUUCAAGACCCUUCCCCCACUCCAACUGACCAAACAGAGUGGGCAGCUGAGGCCUCUGAGGAAGCGGAGGGUGCUGCUCAUCCAUCGGGGGAGAAUGAUGCAGUUGGAGAUCCCAAUGCCUUGAUUGGGCAAAGCCUACAGCGCAUGGAAGCCCACUGUAGGGGAUUAUUAGCAGAAAUUAUUUUUCUGCAAAAAAUUUUUUUUUUUUUAAGUUAAUUGUUAUUGAAUACCAAAAAAAUCAGAAAAAAACAA